AGCUGUAGAACAAAUUUCGCGAGAUCUUUAUUAAAGGGCCUCAGCAUCGGGUGAUACCGCGAGAGCUGAUGCGCUUACGUAACUAAAAUGCGCGAACGGAAGUGGCGCGGAGUACGGCGGAAUAUUAAUGCGGUUGGUUGUUCAGAGACUAGCGGGAAAGAUUAAAAACUAAGGUUUCAACUCUGCUUAGUAAACUGUUUAAUGGCUCCGCGCCCUUUUCUGUCAGAGACCUGCGGACGGAUGGGCUAAUGUUGGACUAGGUUUUUGUGACGAAGCUUUUCAGUUUCACCCCUAAGCUAAACUGAACUGUUUCUUUAAGAAGCCUUGGGAAAUGUGUUUCCCUCAAUGCGGUGUAUGGAAGGAAGCGGUUGCUACUGUUACUUUGAGCCAGUCCCUGAUGCUAUGAGAGAUUCUAGAGAAAAUAAUACAGAGCGAGCCAACGCAUGUAACCUGAAUAACACUGUGUAGGCUGAGUGCACACGAACAGAAGUUAAUAUUAGGACUGAAAACUUAUAUACCUCAACAUGAGACUGGCAGAAUCUUACUGGCUGCAGACAUUCUUCUCUUUCAAGAGUUCCCUUUCAAUGACCUCAAUGUGAGACAGGAA